GACGUAGGGUCCAAGCGUUAUCCGGAUUUACUGGGCGUAAAGAGCGCGUAGGCGGUCCGUUAAGUGAGAAGUGAAAUCUUCAGGGCUCAACCCGAAAAUGGCUUUUCAUACUGGCGGACCGGAGGGAUGCAGAGGUAUGUGGAAUUCCUGGUGUAGCGGUGAAAUGCGUUGAUAUCAGGAGGAACACCCAUGGCGAAGGCAGCAUACUGGGCAUCAUCUGACGCUGAGGCGUGAAAGCGUGGGUAGCAAACAGG
rnacentral:rRNA from 1 species